AAUAGAUACCCUGGUAGUCCAUGCCGUAAACGUUGGGCACUAGGUGUGGGACCCCCUCAACGGGUUCCGUGCCGUAGCUAACGCAUUAAGUGCCCCGCCUGGGGAGUACGGCCGCAAGGCUAAAACUCAAAGGAAUUGACGGGGGCCCGCACAAGCAGCGGAGCAUGUUGCUUAAUUCGAGGCAACGCGAAGAACCUUACCUGGGUUUGACAUGUACGGAAAAGCCACAGAGAUGUGGUGUCCUUUUGGGCCGCACACAGGUGGUGCAUGGUUGUCGUCAGCUCGUGUCGUGAGAUGUUGGGUUAAGUCCCGCAACGAGCGCAACCCUUGUCCUAUGUUGCCAGCGGGUAAUGCCGGGGACUCGUAGGAGACUGCCGGGGACAACUCGGAGGAAGGUGGGGAUGACGUCAAAUCAUCAUGCCCCUUAUGUCCAGGGCUGCAAACAUGCUACAAUGGCCAGUACAAAGGGCUGCUAUACCGCGAGGUUGAGCGAAUCCCACAAAGCUGGUCUCAGUUCGGAUUGGAGUCUGC
rnacentral:rRNA from 1 species